rnacentral:lncRNA from 1 species
AAAAUUUGCAGUUGAUAGUUACAAUGGGCAGGCGGGGACCGGUCUGAAAUUCAACAGUGUGGAAUUCGGCUUCUGCUGGAGCGUUUCUGAUGUCACUGACUACCUGCUUGCCAUUAAUACUCAUGAUGAUAAGGGCCCAUAUUGCGACCCAGCAUUGGUUUCUGAUACACUGAAGAGCAAUGCUCACACUUAUGAGCUCAUCUGGUACAAUCAUAAGAAAAAGUAAUCAAGCACUACUCUUGAUCAGCUGAGUGGGGAUCGACGACUUUAAGUACUUUAAUUAUCUAGUGUUUAUGGUGUGGUUUUCAGUUUAUGCAUGGAUGAUGUACUGCUGGCAUGCAAACAUCCUCCCACUGUUGUACUAGUAUGCAAUGUAAGGUGCACUUCUACCAACAAAAAUGCACCGUUAAAUAAAAAAAUCCGUCUGUGUUUGAGUUUGUGUCCUUGUACUAAUAUGUCAAAGGUGCACUUGUACAAACAAAAAUGCACCAUUGAAUAAAUAAAAACAGCUGUACGAGUUUGAGUUUGUAUCUGUGUAUUUUGUUUCUCUGUUACCUGCAAGCAACUAUCAAUCCCUGAGUUUGUAUCUGUGUAUUUUGUUUCUCUGAUAACUAGUUAAGUAUUACUUAAGAUGAAUCCAAACCUUAAAAAGAAAUGAAAGAUUAGUUGAUACAUUGGGAGUAAGACAAGCCGAUGACGUUGUGGUUCUUCUUUGAAGUAUAUUUUGGAUGUUCUUCAUAAAUAUGAAGACUGUUCAGGCCAGCGAGUUAACAAAAAGUUGUUUCUUGACCCAUCAGCGGUUGAAUGUGGCAAGACGACGAGUGAUCAAAACUGUCACUGGGAAUUCAUAUGCAGGCCAUAGCUAAAUUUCCGUUUUUGGAUCUCUGUACAACUGGUACACGUAAAAUUUGUCAGCUAAACUCCGCCACCAAUUGUUCACGAUAUGCAGGAUGGAUGUUCUGGACAAGAAUAUAAAGAUUAAAAAGGGGACUACGAUUAUCAACAAGAAUAAAAUUGGAUUUAGAAAAAACAUGGUUGAUUACUCGUAUGAUUUGUGCCUAAUGAUAAUUACGAAGCAGAAGAAGAAAAAGAAGGGAAAAAAAGAAGAAAGAAAGGGUUGGAUUGUUGCACACACACAUACAUACAUACAUACAUAUAUAUACACACAUGCAUAUAUAUACAUACGUAUAGGGGAGAGGGAUGGGUUGGGUGAUACAGGGGAAAGAAGUGCAAGCGAAGGUCUCGGGUUCGAGUCCUCCUACUUACACUAAAAAAAACAUAUGUAUAUAUCCUUAUACUAUAUAAGAAUGAAUUUAGGGCAAAGAUUUCAAUCCCAAGGAUGGGGCUAUUUUGGAAAUAUGAGAGUAUUUGAGGUGAAAUUGGAAUAUUUAAUAUGAAUCAUUAUAACUGAUUUGGUUUUUUUUUAUAAUUACUUAAAUGUCCUCUCAGACAUUUAAAGCUAUGAGUAAGUUUAACAUGUGACAGUAUUCGAUAUUCAAUUAAUUAUUCGGUACAAUUGAAUUCAGCUUGUGUUUUAGUGAAAUUACAUAAAAAUCCUUUUAAUCAUUUAAUUGUAUUAACAUCUACGUCUCUUAAUUUCUUAAAGCCUUUCUCAACAAUUAUUUGCAAACUUAUGAUAUAUAGAUGUUAAGACACAAGUUUGGUUUCUUGGCCGUUACCAUAGUAACCCCCAUCUAUCCAAAUUCAUUUCAUUUACCUAUAACUUUGUUCCACUACAAUCAUGUAGUCUAUUGAAUUCAGAUGUUGCUAUAUUAGCUACUACUCUUUCCCAUUUUGCAACAUCUUUCUCAAUAGGUUUGUUUUCUUUAGCUAAUCUACUUUUUUGGUUGUAAGAAAUUUGCAAUCUUGUAAGUUGUAUGUGCAAUAAUUUUUUUAGUGUUUUAAUUCAAUUGCCCAUGUUAGAUUGGCUUGAUAGGGAGGAGAUCACAUUUAUUAAUUGUUAUUUGUGGUUUAGAAUAAGUUUGUCAUCAUAAAUUUUUUCAUUAAUAGAUUGCAUCUACUUCUUUUGUUGUUUUAACUAUUAGUUACGAUAAUUUUCAAAUCAUUUGCUACUUUUUUUAUGAUUCCAUUUAGGCAAUUUUUCACUUCAUUUGAUUUGCCAAUAUGUUUAACUAUCUACUUUAAAACUAUUUGGCUGCAAAUCUAAAGUAUGUACUUCAUUACUUUUAAUUUUUUUCUUGAAUUGAGUGGGUUAAGAUGUUUUAGUACUUUUUUGAGGUAAUUAUUCAUCUAGAUUAGCGUGUUAGUUAUUGUAUAUCUUUGCAACUAGGUCAAAAACUGAUGUUUUGUGAUUGUAACCCCUAUCGAGAAAGAGAUGCUUUGCUAUAUGUCCUAAAUCAUACAAUAAAUCAUAAUUAAUUGAUUUGUCAAUGUGGAGCUUUCAUGAUGAUAUGUCAUUGGAAUCAAUAUAAAUCCAAGAAUUUGGCUUGCAAGAACCGAAAUUCCACUAGCAAUGAUUUCUUCAAGUAUGCUAAUUUUUCAAAUCUCACUUAUAUGACAAGAUAAUGAGGUAGACUGCCCUCAAAUCAAGAUCAAAUUCAAACUUAACGACAAAAUUUAACAUCCCUAAAAUGCAUGAGUAGAUAUAAGUAGAUCUUUUAUUCUAUUAGAUUAGACGCAAAGUGAUUAAUCGUAUUUUAUAAUUAUAUUUUGUUGCAUAUUAUUUUUUUCACUCAAUAUGUAAUUUAUGAUUUUUCUAUUUAAUAUCACAUAAUAAAAUUGUCAUACUUCAAUUCUUAUGCUACAAAAUACUAAAUAAUAAUUAUUAACUAUCUUUACUUAAUACUAAAUAAAAAUUUUUCCCCUAGUAUAUAUAUAUAUAUGUGUGUGUGUGUGUGUUAACGAGGCUACAUUCAAAUUUAAAUUAGGAUGAUGUGCCAUGUAUCCAAAUUAAAUCUACUAAUGUAUAUAAUGAUAACGUGGUAGAUAUAUAUUUUUUUUUAAAAAGCAUUUUUCUUGAGAUAUAAAGUAUGCAGCCUUCUUUAUCCUGAAAGUAAGAUCACUAUUUUGUGGAUGAGGGCAGUCCAAAUGGGCGGGUCAAGUGGUUGCCUGAAUUUAAUUAGGUACCAGGUGCAGAUAGGUGGACCAUAAAACCCCAUUUAAUUAAUGGGUUUGGUAGGGUUAUGUAAACGUCUUUUUAGUCAAUGAAAGCUUGACUACGACCCAUUCAUAAUUUUUGGUUACUCUCACUCGACCCGUUAACUUCUGUCCAAGCUCAGGCUGCAUUUCUUAGGCAUCCAGCUUAAAACCCCAAAUUAAAAAUUAAAGACCACCUGGUAAUUUCCCUUUGGUUCUCAAUGCAGGUGGAUGUAAUGGGCUUUGAGGAUAUUUUAACUUUUAAUUUUGGAUAUUUUAACAUUUAAUGUCCCCAAAACCCAGCAAACCUGGAAAGAACAUUAAACAUGUAAUUUUGAUGUCUGUAAUUUGACUAUCAGUACUUCAUAUUAAUGGAAUCAUAUCUUAAUAUAUUUAGACUGUUUCAUAAUAAAAAUUGAACAUUUAAAUUAAUUAAAUGACACUAAAUUUUCUAGGUAAAAUUUGUGAUUGCAUGUUUGUGAUUGGCCACUAUAGACAUGCCCUUAGUGCUUGUAUUAAACUAAAAAGAGAUAUACAACCGUGCACUAGAUAAAUAAACAUAUUUAAUCUAAUUAUGAGAGUAAGUUAGCAGUUGUAUGACGCAAUUAUAUCACCUAAGAUCUUAAAGGGUUUAAUUAAAUACUUAUGAUCUCGAGAGAGACAUGCGAUUUAAUUAAGCAUAACUUAGGUAUAUCUAGAGAUAAUCUAAGGUAUUUGCGUGUAAUACAUUGUUGGCAUGUUGGGAAAAAUAAUGGGAUGAUUAAUUUAAAUUUUGCAUAAAAAUCUAAAACCCUAGACUCUUGCAAACCAUUUUCUCAACUCUAUUUAAUUUGCCUUGAUUAUUUGUUCAUUUUUUUUAGUUAUAGAUUGAAACCCCUAUGAAUUUGAAUUUUAUUAUUUGUCUAGAAUAAUUAAAGUAGAGAAAAUUAACUCGUUCAUCUAGAUUCUAUUUUGGAAUACUACAGGUAAUUUAUUACUACAAUCGAUCCUAUGUGCUUACAGGAAUUCAUUGAUCAAAAUGCAGUGUUGGCAUCACCCUCUUUCAACCAUUUGACUCUCGAUUUAUCCUUAUAAAAGCUCUCCUCAACUUGCAUCCUCAUUCAUAGUCUGUAUAUGAUUUUGCUUUCUCAAUAUAAAUUUUGGCCAACACAAUUCCAAAAAGUUCCUAAAUGUCCCCAACACGGUUGGUGAAAAGCCCCAAAAGUCCUUAUAGUUACCUUCUAAACUCAAUGUAAUAUCACUGCAGCUAAGCCUGUAGAGGUUUUACAAAUAUAUGAUUUUGAGUUUAGCUUAAGUCUAUCAAUAAAACGAUAAAGAAUAUAUUAAAAUCUUUGGUUAUCCUCCUUAUUUUGAACAUUAUAAAUGUUGUUAUUAUUUAUUAUGAGUUUACUAUAAAAAUUUAAAGAAGUAAAAAAUUAUAAAUUCAUAAAUUAGUGAACUAAAGAUUCCCUCUUUGAAGAAAAUAAAUUACUUAAGUCCUAUUGCAAGAUUUACCAGAAAAAGAACUCUAACAAGGAGAGUAUAUGCCGAGUUACUAAAAGCAUAGACAAAUAAAAAGGACACAAGGAUCAGGAAAACAUCUUUGUUUGGAUAUGAAGUUAUUUGCAACAAUAAAAAAAAAAAAUUAAUUGCAUCAUAAAUCCGUUUUCUAAUUAUCUUUUUAUCUUUCUAGCCACCUUUUUAAUCUCAUAUCUAUCAUAUCACAAAGAGUGUUACGAUGUUAUUCCAAAAUAUUAUUCCAAAUAAUUUCCUAUUCGUACGCACUCAAAUAGUUCAAUCUUCAAUAAAUUAUGCAUUACCCUAUAUGCAGAUUCCUAGAUUACAACAUAAACCCCAAUUUUAGAUUCUUUUCUUCUUUCAUCCUUUCAAGUUCUUGAGUUGCACCACAUCUUUUAACUACUGUUGUAAUUUCUCAAGUUUCUAAUCAUCGCUUUGUUAGUCCACCAUUUCACUUCCAAUUGAUCUUGUUCAUUUUACCCUACAAAACAAAGAGAUUUUGCGAGUAAAAUGACAAAAUCAUAGUUAAUUCAUCUAUCAACUUAAGGUGCAAAUCAAAGACUAAAAUAAGCAACUUGCACCAUUUAACUUCACAAAUUGACUCAAAAACAAUAUAAAGCACCUACAGAAAUAUCCACAACUUGAGCUUAUAUCAGAAACGAACACUUUUUAUACUUCUGGCAUGGUUCUUAUAGAAUGAGUAGCGUAGUUUCGUUAAUUGGCAUGCAUAAUGGCUGUUUUUGAACAUUCGAAUCUACAUUAUCUUCACAAUAGAUUGUCGUAUUUCCAAAAUGAGAAAGCUGCUUUCUUUCAUUCGGUUCAAUACAUUUUUUGAUUGUUGGCAACAAAGUUUUGCAAUUUGGCAUUGAAACACAACUUCUUGACGUUCUCUUGCUUUUAUUGUGUAAAAAUGAUUACAAACCAAUGGAAUUUCCAUUUAAAAAUUUAAUAACCAAUUAAGAAAAUGACUUGCUCUUUUGGUGUAAUUGUUAAUCAUCUUCUUUUACAUCAACUCAUUAAGAAAUACAUGAAAUCAAAUACAAAAUGCAUAUUCAAGCUGAAAGUUUUUUUUUUAUUUAUUUUAACCCUCCCUCCCUUCUCCACACUCCAUCCCAUCCCCAACUGUCAACUUCAGGAUUCAAACUAUAAACCUGGUAGCUCUUAGCCAUUGGACCAAUCUUGCCUAGUUGCAUCAAGCCAAAAGUGGGAAGGAUGGUAAAAUAAUACGAUAAAAUUACAGGCUUAGCUAUAGUAAUUAAGGUUACGUUGGUGUAUAUUUUCACGCCGACCUCAUCAUGGACGUGUAAAAACGUGUUCCAUGCUGGUGGACCAUGAUUUUUGUGAUUCGGUCCUACAUCAUCACAAAUUACUUUAUGGGGUACAGAAUCACAUUUUUAGGCCCAUAAAUACAAGGAGUCUGGUCCUCUGCGACCAAGUUUUCGAUAGUCGCAAGUUUUCGAUAGUCACCAGUUACAAAUAUCUAUUUCCAUUCUUAUUAGUGUUUGAGUUUGUGUCCUUGUACAAGUAUGUCAAAGCUGCACUUAUACGAGUAAAAUGCACCAUUAAAUAAAUAAAAACAGCAGUCUGUGUUUGAAUUUGUAUCUGUGUAUUUUGUUCCUCUGUUACUUGCAAGCAAUUUUCAAUCCCUGAGUUUUGUGUGUCAACUAGGUACUAUAUUCAUGACUAGUUAUGAAGUCUAAUAACUAGUUAAGUUUUACUUAAAAUGAAUCCAAACCUGAAAAAAAAAAAAAAAGAUUAACUGAUAAACAAGCUCUAGUCAAGGAUAUAAUUUCGGAAGUGAUUCAUACACCUGCUCAUUAAUGCAAUAAUUAUUUCAUUUAUUUGUUAAUAAACAGGUUAAAGUUGCCAAACAUGUGAUGAUAACCAACUUUUCCUUAAUAUCUCGAUAGUUAAUGUACAUUCAUUAACUACUUUCCUAAUCAAGAAACAACUCUAGGUACGUCCGUAUAAUUUAAUUUAUUGAUUGCAUUAAAAACUAGAAAAGUAAUGUUUUAAUCAAUAAACACACUAUUGGAGUUUAUUUAAAUUAGAUCAUAUGUUUCUCUAACAUGAAACCAAUCACAUUAGUCACCACUAAUUUAAGACAAUUAAACAAUUAAGAAUUUAACUAUCCUAACUAUCAUUAGAUUGUUAAGUUGAAUUAAAUAUCAAACACUCAUGACAUUCAAACAAUCAAACAAUCAUGAGAAAUUAAAUAAAAAAACAUACGAAUACUAACGAAUAAAAGAAAUAGAUAAAAACAAUUAGAUCUCAUAGUUGCCGAUGAAUCCUUCGUUACUCCUUGACUAGAAAAAGAAAAUUUAGCCACUUAUCACUACGAAUAAUCCAAGCAAUUUUAUUGAUAAAUGUUGCAUGAAUAUUCAACAAAAGCAAAAAACAGGAAAAGGCGGAGAGAAAAGCUCUUCGUUUGGUUUAUGCUUGGUGCCUAGACUAAUAGUCUCUCGGUACCCGAAACAAAGUCUUAAAAUCACGAAGGCCAAGAAUCCCUCCUACUCACGUCACCAACGUUUCCUGCUAUUACUACUACCACUAAUACAUCUAAUCUCCUCUAAUUUUUCUCCGAGAGAAAUAUACCCAUAAUUUAACAAAAGGUAAGUUACUUGUUUCUAAAUACAAAACGAAAACCAAUUAUUUUGGAAAAGGAAACCACUUCACAGAACUUCAAUUUGAAUUGGAAAAUUGCCACGCGCGCCAAAUCUCGAUCUCUUCGAACCCGAGGCUAGAAUUAGGUGCGGUCACACAGAACACACCAAGAAUCUUCAUUAAACCAAUUUUUACUCCUUUUCUUGCCAUAUUCCUGAAAUUAGCAUCAAUUGCCAAAUAUACUUUUUACUCCUUUUCUUGGCCUAUUCCUAAAAUUAGCAUCAAUUCUCAAAUAUAAAUAGAAUCCAUCAAUUAUUACAAUAUUUGGUCAAAAUUAAAGGAAAAUAUUCAUAAAUUUAAUAGCAAUUACAUACCCUAUCACCCUCCACUCUUUACACCCCUUCCCAUCCCCAACUAUCAACCUCAAGAUUAGAACUAUGAACCUGAUAGUGGGGGAGCUCUUAGCCACUGGACCAACCCUACCCAGUGGUAUCAAGCCAAAAGUUUGAAUGAUGAUAAAAUAAUAACAUAAAAUUAUAGGCCUAGCUAUAAUAAUUAGGUUACGUUGGUGUAUAUUUUCACACUGACCUCAUCAAGGACGUGUAAAAACGUGUUCCAUGCUGGUGGACCAUGAUUUUGGUAAUUAGGUCCGGCAUUACCACAAAUUAAUUUAUGGUGUAGAGUAUCACAUUUUUAGGCCUAUAAAUUCAAGGAGUCUGGUUCUCUGCUACCAAGUUUUCGACACUCACCAGUUACAAGUAUCUAUUUCCAUUCUUAUUAGUUAGCUAGCUAGUCCUUUAAGAAGAAAAUGGCCGCAGCCAAAUCUGGUAUUGGCAGUGGACAGGUGAAUAGUGACUGUAUGCCUUGCUAGACUGGAUUUCUUUGUUUUUCAAGUUUGUGUGUGCAUGGUUUUCGGAGUCAACUUAUAAACAACACGUAUAGAAACGUUUGAAAAAGUAUGAGGAGUUGCAAAUUAAAGUAACUUCAACAUUCUUGAGUCGACUUGAUUAGCAAUAUUUUAUGUUUCUAGUUGUCUACAUGCUGCGGUCUCUUGAAUUGUUUGAUAAAUAAGCUUCUUCCGAGCAAUGUCGUUUCUUAUUAAUUGAUUGGUUCGAUUUAGUUUUCUGGUUGUUCCUUUGUUUGAAAGGACUCUAACUGAUUUUGGGAACUCAAUUGUGUUGGGUUUUCUUACUGAAAAAUGUUUGGGGUUUGCAGAAAGACGAACCUAUUAUUCCUAUGGCGUCAACCGUCAAUCCGAACGACGAUGUGGUGAUUCAGAAGGCAAAAUUUGCAGUUGAUAGUUACAAUGGGCAGGCGGGGACCGGUCUGAAAUUCAACAGUGUGGAAUUCGGCUUCUGCUGGAGCGUUUCUGAUGUCACUGACUACCUGCUUGCCAUUAAUACUCAUGAUGAUAAGGGCCCAUAUUGCGACCCAGCAUUGGUUUCUGAUACACUGAAGAGCAAUGCUCACACUUAUGAGCUCAUCUGGUACAAUCAUAAGAAAAAGUAAUCAAGCACUACUCUUGAU